ACCAAGGAAAGGCAUAAGGCGAAUUUCCGUCACGGUGUCGUCUGUUUGCUGACGUGGUUAGCAUCGGGUCCACCAAAGAAAAGGCAAAAACGACAUUUUACACACCCUAAUCGAGUCAAAGCUCGACCUCCCUCCCUUUCUUUCCCUCCCCUUCCUCCCCUUCCUUUCCUCCCCUCCCUUAAUCGACUAAAAUCACAAAGGUCAGAGAAAAGAAGGAGAGAAGGUGGCUACCUCUCCGAUCGGGUUUCCGAUCCCCGUCACGGCAGCAAGCGAAACUGGUGCUGGUAGUGUCUGCGUUUUAUGGCGAAUCGAGGUUCGACUCAGGUAUAAAAGUUGGUCUAUUCUUCAAUCUCUACCUCUUUGUAUAAUCGAAUUUGAGUAUGGAUUGAGUGUUGGAAGGGUUGGGAUUUUAGGCAGUGGGCACCACCGUGAGUUCUGCCGUGUACGGGGGAGGCGGUGACGUUUUGAUCUUUGUUUGGUGAUUUCCAGUUUAAGUGAAUCUCUGAGCAUGAUUUUGAUUGUUAGAUGUAUUGGAUUACAAAGUUGAGGAUUUGAGAGGGUAGAUGAUCGGAAGGUUUCUAUCUAUGUUCUUUUGCUGUUCUUAGAGACGUUUUGGAUGUUGGCAGCCUAUUUGAUUUGUAACAGAUGCAUAGGAACCUUAGUUGGUUGUUAUUGAUGCUUCAAUUCGAGAUUGUCGAGAGUUGAAGCAUAUUGCUUACUCUAGUGCCCCUGAGUCUAUGAAAAGUGAACUUCGAACUAUAUACAAUCAAUUGUGCUAAGAUGAUAUGCCCAUGGUUUGAAGAUCUGCUGCAACUAACCUGGGAAAAUUUGCUGCGACUGUUGAAGCUGCCCACCUCAAAACUAAGGUCAUGUCUAUAUUUGAGGAUUUGACACAGGAUGGAUAAGUCUUGGCGUGUUCGUUACAUGGUUGCAAAUCAAUUAUAUGAUCGAGCUGUGUGAAGUUGUUGGUCCAGAAGGCACCAGGUCAGAUCUGGUGCCUGCCUAUGUUCGUCUUCUUCGCGAUAAUGAGGCUGAAGUACGGAUUGCUACUGAAUUGAUGUUGGUUCAUGAUAGGCUAAAUCAGAGAAACAUAAUAUGUAAUUCAUCAUGUUUUGGAAUCAAUUUUUUGCAAACAAUUUGGUUCCUUGAGUUUUUGGAAACCAAUUAAGCUUGAAUUCUGAUGUUGAACUGAUAUUGGUUUUAAUUCCGUGAUAUUGGCAGCCCUUUUUGGUACU